CUGCCGCUGCCCUCCAGCACACGCUCGCCACCAGGCCUGCACAAGGGCACAAACGCAUCUUUCAGAAAGAAGCAACCGAACGUGGCCUCCCCGCGGUCCGCAACCCUGAAACAGGCGAGGUGGUAACCGACCCUCCCAGCAUUCUAACCGCCCUGGAAGGCCACUUCCGCAAACUGUCAGCCCCCCCACGAGGGCCCCGCACAGGUGAAUAUCGCCUGUCGCCUGGCGCAAUGCGUGGGUACCCGUUCGAACUACCUAACGCUACGGAUGCCUUUACGCUUGAGCGUAACAGGCACCCGGAAGCACACUCCAUGCUUUCUAGCAUGGCAGACCCCGCCAACUUCGACCACUGUAUCGCCCACCUCUCUCGUAACAAAGCCACGGGCCCAGACAGCAUUCCGAACGAGCUGCUCCGCAUCUUGCCUCACGGCAUGAAGCGAGCCCUACACAACACACUGAAGAUCAUGUACGUCAAGUCCACAAUCCCGGAGUCCUGGGCCACUUCGGACACGGUCCUGCUCCCAAAACCUGGGGACGCUCUUGACAUCAAGAACAAGAGGCCCAUCGCUCUAGCCAACACUUGCUAUAAACUGUACACUUCUAUGCUCACCCUGGGCAUCGGCGAACUGGCAGGCCCACUCCAGCUGUUCAGCGAAUCACAGGAGGGCUUCCGGGCCUACUGCAACACGGAACGGCAGAUACUAAACCUUGUGCAUGUACUGGAGGACGCUGCCCUGUAUGGGAAAGACGUAUACGCAGUAUAUGUUGACUACAGCUCUGCGUUUAACACAAUCGAUCAGGACAGGCUACUCCAGAUUAUGUUCGAUCUGGGCCUGCCUGACGACCUGAUACGCGCAGUCCGCAACCUAUACGCGCAUGCCACCACCCGCAUUCGUACUGAACAUGGAUGCACAUCCGCCAUCCCAAUAGAACGUGGCACGGUGCAAGGUGACACCCUGUCACCUGUACUGUUUAUCUUGUUCAUGGAACCGCUUGUGCGGUGGCUCCACGCAGGUGGGCGGGGCUACCGCUACGGAUGCCUCAGCCCGGAAGACAAUGCACGGUACCACUGCAGCGCCGCCGCGUACGCUGACGACUUGGCGGCCCUGACCACAACGCUGGAAGAC
rnacentral:lncRNA from 1 species